UCGUCCUUGCAAUGAUGGAGUGCCAAAAAGAUCGUAAGCUCCUUUCCCGUUCUAAAGCUAGCGGAAGUCCUACUGCCGGGGACCCUGCAGUCACGCCUUCCUUCUGGCCAGAACCGUGCAGAGCGGGAGACAGGCUCCUGCGGGUUAGGAGGAAGUACAGAAUGUGCCAGUAAGUGCUGGGGAGAGAGAGACAGCAGAGAAGGGGACAGGCGUGGGUGGCACUUUUGUUUCGGCUGCCUGGAGGAGGUGACAUCUGAGCGGAGACCGAGGGCGAUGAGGGCUUGGAGGAACUCAGGGGUAUGUGGGAGCAGCACAUUCCAGCCAGAUGGGACAGCAAGGGCAUCAUCUCUGAGGCAGGAGCUUAGCCUGUCCAAGGGAGGCCGGGCAGCUGGACCAGAGAGAGCAGGGGUAAAGCGAAGCGGGAAGACGAUAAGGAGUGUAGGGAAAAAUCACGAAAGACCGAAAUGUCAUGAGAGUCUCGACUGGCUGCCUGCCUACCCGUUUCUGGCCUCUAAGAGUUCAACAUCAUGAGGCCAUUAGGCGGCCAGGCUUGGCAUCACCGUUCGGGGCUAAAACGGAGAGUUAGCCUCUACGGGGCCAGCCGACGACAGGCCACACGCGCGCUGCCUUCUGGGCACCUCCCAUCGCUGGGUGCCUCAGAACCUCAGGGCUCAGAGAGGCUAACGGCGAGCUGGAGGUCACACGGCCAUCUUCUGCCGGGCCAGGAUCGGAUGCCAGACUCGCCCUCCUUCCCCUUCCCUGGGGAGAUUUGGAUCCGUGUUCAUCAACCGCGACGGCGCUCUCUGGUCGGCCCCUUCAACGGUAUAGGGGGAGCCAGGUAAGUCUCACGGGGCCCCCCGUCCCCCACUGAGAGUUUAUAACAGUG